rnacentral:rRNA from 1 species
GACGAACGCUGGCGGCGUGCUUAACACAUGCAAGUCGAGCGAGGCUCCUCCUUCGGGGAGGAUGCCCUAGCGGCGAACGGGUGAGUAACACGUGGGCAACCUGCCCCUAGCACUGGGAUAACCCCGGGAAACCGGAGCUAAUACCGGAUACGACCACAGUUGGCAUCAACAUGUGGUGGAAAGAUUUAUCGGCUAGGGAUGGGCCCGCGGCCUAUCAGCUUGUUGGUGGGGUAGUGGCCCACCAAGGCGACGACGGGUAGCCGGCCUGAGAGGGCGACCGGCCACACUGGGACUGAGACACGGCCCAGACUCCUACGGGAGGCAGCAGUGGGGAAUAUUGCUCAAUGGGCGAAAGCCUGAAGCAGCGACGCCGCGUGAGGGAUGAAGGUCUUCGGAUUGUAAACCUCUGUCACCGGGGAAGAAACGCUUUGAGUUAAUAGUUCAAAGCCUGACUUAACCCGGAGAGGAAGCAGUGGCUAACUCUGUGCCAGCCGCCGCGGUAAC